rnacentral:snRNA from 1 species
GGAUGUGAGGGCGAUCUGGCUGCGACAUCUGGCACCCCAUUGAUCGCCAGGGUUGAUUCUGCUGAUCUGGCUGGCCAGGUGCGUGCCCGCUUCCUCCCUCACCGCUCCAUGUGCGUCCCUCCCGAAGCUGCCCUCUUGGUGGAAGACGACGACCAUCCGCCAUAGAGGAGGACCGGUCUUCGGUCAAGGGUAUACAAGUAGCUGUGCUCCCCUGCCAGAACCUCCAAACAAGCUCUCAAGAUCCAAAAUGCUGGAAUUACAGGUGUGAGCCACCGCGCCUGGCCAAAAUUAACUUUAUAUUU